CAUCCUGAAUCAGCACAACUAAUUCAAAACAAACGAUAUUCCUGGAUUUAGUUUGCUCUUAGGGCUGGACCCUUCACCGAAUGUAGUUGUAGAAUAUUAUCUGAAGGCUGGAUGACACUUGCUUGUAGGUUUUUCCUCAGGUUUUACUUUAACUUUUGGAAUGUGACAGGUCCAACAUCUAUUUUAUUUGUAUUAGUGCCUUGACAUAUGGAAAAAGGGUGUCCUUUACUUUGCUCCUAUUUCUUGAGUGACCUACUGUAUGGAGAACUUGGCAGUUGUUAAUGAAAUACACCAGUACAAGCCAAGUAGCUUGGAAGGAUUUCAUGAAAAAGGUGGACUCAUGUAUCAAGGAUUUUUAUGACUGCUUCAAGCUACAAUAGAGUAAGUGGAUUUAAAAGACAAUUCUAAUACUACUAUUUUUGCUUAGGAAUAUACUUUUUAGAGAAAAGAUAAAGGCAAGAUAAAAAUUACUUUCUUGCCCAGUCAUUAUGAGAUGCUUGAGAUAGGAGUUUAGCAUUUUAUAAAUUGUUCAAAGGGGAGUGAUGCUCGAAUUGUAUAGUACAAGGUUGUUAUUA